UCGGGUGAUGGUUUGGUUAUCUCC
rnacentral:siRNA from 1 species